AACCAGCGCUGGCGGCGUGCCUCAGACAUGCAAGUCGAACGCGAAAGCCCCCUUCGGGGGGCAAGUAGAGUGGCGCACGGGUGAGUAACACGUAGGUAAUCUACCUUUGGAUGGGGAAUAACAACCGGAAACGGUUGCUAAUACCGCAUAAUGCAGCGGCACCUAAUGGUGACAGUUGUUAAAGCGGGGGAUCGCAAGACCUCGCGUCUGAAGAGGAGCCUGCGGCGGAUUAGCUAGUUGGUAAGGUAACGGCUUACCAAGGCGAUGAUCCGUAGCCGGCCUGAGAGGGCGGUCGGCCACACUGACACUGACAUACGGGUCAGACUCCUACGGGAGGCAGCAGUCGGGAAUUUUGGGCAAUGGGCGAAAGCCUGACCCAGCAACGCCGCGUGAAGGAUGAAAUCCCUCGGGAUGUAAACUUCGCAAGAACGGGAAGAAUAAGGAAGAGUUAACACCCCUUUCGAUGACGGUACUGUUUGUAAGCUCCGGCUAACUCCGUGCCAGCAGCCGCGGUAAUACGGGGGGAGCAAGCGUUGUUCGGAUUUACUGGGCGUGAAGGGCGCGUAGGCGGCCACCGCAAGUCGACUGUGAAAUCUCUGGGCUUAACCCAGAACGGUCAGCCGAUACUGCGGGGCUAGAGUGCAGAAGGGGCAACUGGAAUUCUCGGUGUAGCGGUGAAAUG
rnacentral:rRNA from 1 species